rnacentral:rRNA from 1 species
UACAGAGGGGGCAAGCGUUAUUCGGAAUUAUUGGGCGUAAAGGGCGCGUAGGCGGCCUGGCAAGUGGAAGGUGAAAUCCCUCGGCUUAACCGAGGAACUGCCUCCCAAACUGCUUGGCUUGAGACCAGGAGAGGUGAGUGGAAUUCCCAGUGUAGCGGUGAAAUGCGUAGAUAUUGGGAGGAACACCAGUGGCGAAGGCGGCUCACUGGACUGGUACUGACGCUGAUUGUGCGAAAGCUAGGGGAGCGAACGGG